AGCAGUGGGGAGAUCAUAGAUGAAGUUAAUAAUUUCAUUGCCUCUAAACAGUAAUUCCUCUUAAAGACUUCCUUUAUGUAUUUGUAGAUUAAAAAUUGUAGUUUAAAGCGAACUGUAGGAAAUUCGUGCUCCUUCUACCAAAUAAAAGCUUUGCCAUGAGAUCAGCAUGAAAACUUGCUGCAAUGUACUACAUUCCCAAUGCUAUCAAGUGUUGCUUAAACACAGCACAAAAUAACCUAUUUGAAAAGAGCAAUUUUAAUUCAUUUCAGUUGUGUGCAAAUAAGAGGGGAGAAAACCAGGAAGAUUGUAAUUAUCUAGUUUGCAGCAAAUAGUUAGUGAAUCCUUUAUGGAAUAUGUAAUUGUAGAUACACAUCAACUGUUAAAAGUAAUCUGCAUCAGCAGAAGUACUAAAGCCAGCAGCUUCUGCUCAGCAGAAUUUCAACAGCUAUUUGUUCCAAAAUGCUGGUGGUGCACAGCCUGGCCAUUAAUUCACACACUACUGGGUUAAUCCCACCAAGCUCUGACAUCUCAUCAGCUUUUAAACAGAAGAGACUAGUCAAAAACACCUGCAGCAAGCCAAAAGCAAAGAUGUUAAAGGGACUGAAAAGCCAUUAAAUCUAAUCCUCUGCUACAGCUGGAACCACAAAGUUAUUAGAUCUCAUUUCAGAACUUCUUAGGCAGUUUGUCCCCAUCCUACCAGUGUGAAGUUAUUUGAGAAAAAAAAUCUUCCAGCGCUUAAGAACCUCUCAUUUCAAGGCAUGGCUUUUCCUGGGCCAGUUCAAAGGGACUUGUUACAGUAACUAUACUUGUCCUUCCUCACAUGGGCUCUUUCCUCUGACAUCUACCCCACAGCUACUCUGCACCCAGUGUAUUUGUUUCCAGACAAUAAACAAACACAACACUUCUAUUCCCUUAGACAUUCUGGAAGGCAUGUGCUGCAUGUACUCCAUUUCCUGUUUUCUGAAGGCAGAAAAUGAGACCUGUUCACAGCACUUAAACAGAGGUUUUAAAUCAUUGCACAUGGCUUCAGCGCUUGGUUACAGAAGCACUUGAUAGGAAAGGUGCCCAAUAAUGUGACACAGAUUUCCCUGAUAUGUCAUUCCUGCCAUUUUCAGCCUCAAAACCUUCACAUGCCCAUGAUUACACUAAGAAGGAAACAAAACUAUUUCAGCAGCUGGUGACCCAGUUUGUACAAGUCUCACCCCUAGGACAAGACAACAAUUCCUACAGGCAGGUCAGCUACUGUGCUGAUACAGCCUCUGUCCUUAUCCUUAUUCCCCAGGACACAUCUGAACCCAUGGAAGCACUUUCAUCCAUUGCCAGAUGUUGCAGCCAUCCAGAAUAUUUUGGGCAGACCAGGACAGCACAUGGGACAGCAUAUGCAGUAGAGCCCCAAGAAAAGGAGAUACUGCAGUGGAUAAGCACAUUCCCAACAGCUGACUGAGGAAGGCAGAAAGAUGCAUCUAAAGAAUGGAAUGGUCUGUGGGAGCCAGCUGGUGACUUUCAGAGGCCUGUUUGUUUUAAGCAUGUUCAACAACAGUUGUGCAUUUCACUCCCAGAGAAGGAUGGAUAUUAUCUGCCAUUUUCUUGUGUAUUCAAAGCUUCCUCUCUGCAUAAAUUCACAUGAAGCUCUGGAAAAAACAAUAAACCUUUAACCACCCGACAAGAUUUAGAGCAUGGAAUCAGUCAUGUACAGAAGUUAAACCUCUUCUUUCACAGAAUAAUCACACACAUAGACUAACCCACUAUUAUUAAACUCAUUACCUGGCCUAAUAUUUAACAGUAUCUUUGCUGCUGACCUAAUUGUUUGGAAGCCAUAUGUAAAUCAGGAAUCUGCCUAGGAUUUCUGAAGGCAAUACAACCACCAGAUUGCAGUCACCUCAUUCUCCCCAAGGAAUGGGGGGGUAUUAAUUUCUGAGUUUCAUUAUUCUAGCAUAAAAAUAAUCUUGCAGUUGAAACUUAUAAGCAUAAGUACUUCAAGUACAGAUGACAUUUCAAGCUGUCCAGACAUUUAUUUCUAAAGCAUUUCAAAACUUUGCACACAAGUUAAAGCACCCAUGCUUGCUUCUCCUCACUGAGUGCCACUAACAAGUGAGUACUGCAGCAGAGAGCACAAUUUCUAAUUCUUCUACCUCUAGAAUAACAACGUAGGCCUGAACACAUACUCACUGUGCUACUCAUGUCCCUUUUAAUCAGAAGCUACUUCAGAGACAUGACAUCUGUUUGAGGAUCAAGGAGCUAGUAAGGCCUUCUUCCAAUUCCCCAGAUCCAAUGACACUAUUCUCUGAACUGACCUUAGUGUAAGUAACAAACUGUAAGAAUUUCAAAUUGUGCUGCUCUGAUGUAAAACCAAAAUAACUGACAUUCAGAACUCUGCUCAUUGUCAACUCCCAUUAAUAACAAACUUAUUCCAUUGCUGUAUCCAGAAUAUUUUCUUCCACCUGCAUCCAAAGGGGAAUAAAGAACACUCAUUACAGACAAGGCAUUAAGUUACAGUAAUGCUCCUGACACUGUGCUAAACAAUGGAAGAGAACAAGAGAACUUCCAUCCCUUUGUUCUCUGACUAAGCCUCCAGCCCUACUCCUUCCUCCUUCCAUCAUCCUGGGCCUCCUGCUCUUGGCCAGAGUCCCUGUCCCAGUCCUUCAACUCCAAGGCCCACAUACCUUGCCAGCUUCCCCAACAGGAAGAGAUGUACUCUGAAGAGCUGUACUGCACCUAAGCCAGAAGCUGCAGUAGGGCUCUUCAGAGAGACAGGCUCAGCUCAGGACUGAGCCUUAACACCAGUGCAAGACACUCCAGCAGCCUUUCAAGCAGCCAAGAGCUGAGCCAAAUAGCAUCUGUGUCUCCUCAUGAACAGCAGCAGGGGCACCCCGUGUCUCGAUACAGACACCACUUACCAACACUAUCCAAAGCUGAAGGAGGCCAUUGGUUGGGGUUUUCUCAAUAAUCAAGAGGUGUUACUUGGAAGUAAUUUAUAUGCUUUUUUUUUUUCUUUUGCAAUUUUAACAGUAAGAGGAAAAAAGUUCCUCUUUGGUUCCUCUAAAGUCAAAAAGAAUUUAACUUAUGAAUAGCAGUUUUUGAGAAGUCCUUAGUUUAAGAAAGCUAUCAAGGUAGGUUCCUCUUGCUCAAAUGCAAUGUGGGGUUUUUAUUACUCAAAGGGGAUCAAGUAAAAGAGGUGAUCAAGUAAAAAGAAACCCACAGAACCAUGAAGCAAGCAAAAAUAUAAGAAAUUACAAUGUAGAAAGAAAAACAAUUCCUUUCAAAACAAAGGCAAUGUCUUAUUUAGGGCAACACUGCUAUAUCAAAAAGUAAAUCCAUACUGUCUUUGGAUAAAAAACAGGGAAUUGAAGUCUUUAUGAACUAUAUAUGGAUAAAACAGAUGCUAAAGAUAUGAAAAGUUUCCAUUUAAUAUCUCCAAAUUCUUUGUUUCUUUCUCCUUUCCCAAUCCCUUAAAUUACAUUAAGUCCUUUGUACGUCUCCAAUCAGAUACAUGGAAAUGAGAAUCUUGCUUUGCAGGACUUGUGGCUCCCAUUAUCUGAACAGGUUAAUGAAACUGUCUAAUUCACAACAGAGUAUCUUAAUUUGCUGGAGUAUUUUUUGCUUCUGUCAGCUGGUAAGAAAAUUAUUUUCUCUUUCUGUAAGGGCAAUUCUUCCCCUAGAUUUCCCAGGUAGAUAAGCAAGUUCACUGUUCUUUUGCUUGAACUCCAGCAGCAUUGCUUCAUUUGAUAAAAGAAAUUAAUUUCUAAAAUAGAUACUACCUUGAAUGCACACCCUCUAUUGAAGCCACUGUCUUAAUAGUACAUUUUUAUAAAACAGUCUAAUAGAAAAGAAAGAAAAAAAAUUAAAAUAUUAUUGCUACAAGAAUUAUUCACUUGAGAGCUCCCAGUGUUGUCCUACUGUCAGUCCUAGAAACAUGUAAUCUCAUGCAAACUAAAUAAAGUGAUCCUUACCCAACUAAAAAUCAGGCUUAGCCUUUCUGGCUUAUCUUAAAAAGAAAUGAAAACAGAGUUAAAUUACCUUGCAACAGUUACCAGAACCUGGAAGUUUCACAAUGUUUCCCUUUGUGCAUUAGUAGGAAGAAAUUAAACAUAGGGUAAAAUGGACCAUGGGGCAAAUACUCCAAACAAAAAUGACAUUUAAAAAGCCAAUUACCUGCCACAGCCUGUGCACAUAGUGACAGUUACCUAACAAAAGGCAGAACCAGGCUAUGAAAGCAGGAGAUUUGUGUGAAGGAAAAGAACUGAGAACAUAAAUUCACUCAAGGUCAAAGAAUAAAUGAAACCAUAAGGAAUGAAUCUAGGUAAGUUUUAUAACAAACAGCAUCAAUUUACUGGGAAAAUGUAAUAAAUGUGUCAGUAGGACGGUGUUUCAAAGCAGAAUUGCCAUAAUCUUUGCAGUGUCAACCUUCACUUGACACUACUUCAUUACCAUGUUUUAGAGAUCAAAAUGAGGCAUCCAGCUGCAGUAUUUUUACAUAUUCCCAAAGUCAGAAGCUCUAAGUUACUGCACUCACCCUUUAGAACCUCAGUUUUCUCUGAAGUUUAGCAAGAUUUGCUCUCCUCACAAUUUAAGAGUGUUCUUUCCUACAUCAGGACCAGUCUUCUGCAAUUUAAGACUUGCUUAUUUAAAGCCAAGAAAUGGCAUUAUUAGAGAGCCUAAAGACUCACCUCAAACCACACCUACCCAGAGAGCCCCGGCUGACUCCAGUGGUACCACCACAUGACUGAGCACCCCAGUCCUUACAGCCUGGUUUGUUAGGGCCAACCUUAGCUCUAAUCACUAAAACAAACCCUGAAUGUAAAAACCAGGCAGUAAAGCAUCCCCCAUGACUUCAAACAGAUCUGCUGCUAGCUCUUUACUAGACCCACUAAUCCAUUCCUUCCCAGGUAGGCGGUGUUUGGAGCACACUGGCAAGCACUCAGUUGUAACAAAACUAAAAGGAGGCUGCAUUAGACCAACACUAGGUUGUCUCAUUAAAUUUAUACCCUAGACAAUUUACCACUGUUCCCAGCAGUUCCAUGCAUGAAACAAUUGACCUAGAAGUUAAAUAUGACAAAUCAAAACAGGAACCUUAUUGUCUCUUCACCUCUUCUUUUACACAUGAUUAAAAUGGCAUUACCAGGUGAGAUUUAAGUACACUAGAAAUAAAUACAGGCAGAAGUUCAGAAAAGUAAAAAGA